AACUGGCUGGCUCAGUCGGUAGAGCAUGGGACUCUUGAUCUUGGGGUUGUGAGCUCAAGCCCCAUGUUAGGUG
rnacentral:tRNA from 1 species